GUUGCUUUCGUUUUCUCUCUGGUGUCGCAGACACUAAAGCAGUCAGUCAUGUUUUUCUGUGUUCUGAUCAACGCUGAAUAAACUUGUAAAUAAUGCUCUCCUGGGUGCAACUUUUGGCUGUGCUAAUUGCUGAUAGAGCGUGCAUGAGUCUGGAAUGUGUACAAGAUAUUUUCUAGAAACUCAUGUCGCUGAGUGCCUACGGGAGGUAGAUGGAUCGUCCGGCAGACGGCUCGGGGGCCUUGAUGGACUUUAUCUCCCUGGCAGUAUCCCAACAACAGGUUUCGGGCCCAGAUUCACAGCACUUACAGGAGAGUAAGACUGCGACAGACUGCUGAAAGGUAUGUGGAGGAAAAGCGAAAGUGAGGCUUUUCGUUGCCGCGGCAAAGUCCCUUUGAUGUCCGGUCAGGCCUAAUUGGAUCUGGGAGCCGCGCCAAGAGCAUUCGUGAGUUAUGGGCUGCUAAGAUAAGGGGUCUUUGAAGUGAAUAAGACUCACGGCUCAAGUAAAAGGCUGAGAUGGAUCUUUUACAAUCCUCAGAAGCUGCUCCGUCUCCACCAAAGCUAAAUGGCCACAACUAUCAGACCUGGGCAAGGUACCGUGAGGGCCAGAUGAGAAAGCUUGGAGUGUGGAAUACCGUUUCUGAGGACCCCCCAGCCCCUGUGACAGAUGAAUGGACGGCACAGGACUCAAGAGCCAUGGGGAUAAUUUUGCUCUCAGUAGCUCCUGAAGAGUUAAUCACCCUGGCUGGCAAGGCCAGUGCCCGUGAGAUGUGGGACGGGCUUAGAGCCUGUCAUCUCCGACAAGAGGCUGGGUCUGUGUUGCUUUAUUUCAGAAAGCUGCACAGGAAGCGUUUGGAGCCAGGGGAAGACCUUAGAGCCCACGUUUUACAUUUGCAGCAUCUCAGACAGGAAUUGACUCAGAGAGGUUUCAAUAUGCCUGAGUCACUGUUUGCAAUUCUCAUCCUGGACUCCCUGGAUGAAAGCUACCAUGCCGUGGCAAGUCAGCUGGCGACCCUCCCUGCGCAAGACCUCACUGCUACAAAGGUCUUGGCGACUUUGCAAAACGAAUACGAUAGAAGGAAUGCAGCUGAGUCGGCUUGUGCGCUCCAGGGGGAGCAAUGUGGGACAGCAUUCCAGCCUCCAGGGGGAGCCAAGGAGUCGGCAGCUGAGAGCUCUGUUUCUCGUGGGAGCCAAGGUCAUCGCCUUUGCAGAGGCCGGAAAGGCAAAGGUAAACAGAGGCAGACGCCUGCAGAUGGCCAGAAGCAGAGGGAGGGUGAAGAGCCCACGCCAGUGGAAAACAAGGUUAUGUUUGCUGGCACAGCCUCACCAAAGGCUAAAGGCAAGUCUGAUGGCCAGGAGCAGGGGGGCAAGCUGCAAAAGCCCACGCCGGUGGAAAACAAGGUUUUGCUUGCUGCAAAGGCUGCUCCAAAAGCCAAGGCCAGGUUUGUUGUUGAUUCAGGCUGUACCCGCCAUGUCUCAAAGGACCGCCACCUAUUUAUCUCCUUCACGCCUCAGGAAGGUGAGAUCCACCUGGCUGACGGAAAGACGUUGCGAAUUGCAGGAGAAGGGACUGUGAAACUGGCAAGUCUGCACACUACCAUCAAAGAUGUGCUGUAUGUUCCAGGUGCUGCAGACAAUUUGCUCAGUGUCCCGCAGUUGACUGGGCGUGGUUUUGAGAUUUCCUUCAAGAGGAGCGUCUGUGUCAUCAGAAAAGGCAAAGAGGACAUUUUGCAUGCAAAGUUUAUGGAUGGCUUGUUCUGUAUAACUUAUGACGACAAUGGUGCUAUUGUGUCUAAUGCUGAUUCUUGUUGUGUUGCACAAACUAACAAAGUUCUUCAUGCAGGAUGCAUUCACGAUGCACAUCGAAGGUUUUGCCAUCUCUCUUGGAAGGCACUGGCCAAGAUGCCAGAGAUGGUUGAGGGUUUGAACAUCAAACCCUGUAAGUUUCACAUGAAAUGUGUAUCUUGUGCAGAGAACAAGGUGAAGGUUGCUCCAAAAGGCAAGGAGUCUAGCAGGCAGGCUUCCAAACCCUACCAGCUAGUGCACGCAGACCUGGUUGGUCCACUUGCGCCCUCUUUGGGUGGAGCAAGGUACUUCAUGGUUCUAAUUGAUUCUUUUUCCAGGUACAUUCAUGUGUUUAUGCUCGAGCAGAAAUCGCAAGCGUUUCCUAAGUUCAAGGCAUUCUGUGCUUGGUUGGAGAAUGUUCACGGUAAACGCAUUGGCUGUCUGUUUACUGAUCGAGGCGGGGAGUUCACUUCUCAGCAGUUUGAAGCUUUCCUGACUGAGAAGGGAAUCCAGCAUAGCCUCUCAAGUCCUGGAUCUCCAUGGGAGAUUUGUGAGCAAGCAAAGCAAACGUUGCUGCAAGGACUGAAAACAUUGCUGCAUGAUGCCAAUCUCCCUGAGAAGUUUUGGGGGGAGUCUUUGAACUCGUAUGUUUACACUUUUAAUCGCAGAUUGUCAUCACCUAUUGGUUGUACCCCCUAUGAGAAGAUGUUUGGUAAGAAACCCAACAUCAAGCACAUGAGAAUCUUUGGUUCUGACAUGUGGGUACACACCCCACAGAGCAACAAGCUUGGGAAGCGUGGGGCACAUGGUUUGUUCAUGGGGUACGAAAAGGUGCAUACAGGGUGUGGAUGACCAACUCUAAGUCCAUUAAGUUCACAAGGAGUGUUGAGUACAAUCCUAAGUGGGGGGAAAAUGUGGGAAUUUUCCAGAGUUACCCAGAGGAGGAUGAAGGUGAUGUCAAAGAAGCAGCUAAAGCUGAGGAAGCUGCUGAGGAUGAUGAUGACGAUGAUGAUCAGAGUUCGGAUUCCAGUUCAGUGGGCGGCGCUGCUGCUGGUGUCAGUGACAGUGAUGACACAGCAGACUACAAGAGCGCAAAGGCCUCAGUCAGACCAUCUGAUGCGUCUGACAAUGAACUGGAAGAACCACUGUUCACCAUUGGUCACUUUUCUCCUAAGAAAGAGGAGAUGAGUCCAGAAGACUUGCGUCUAGUACGCAGAUCUGAAAGAGCCACAAAGGGCAGACCUCCAAAGAGAUUUGCUGAUGAGUUUGCUAAGACAGCAACUGCUGUUCUUAGUAGCUCAGAGAAGGUGUGGGAACCUUCAAGCUUCAAAGAGGUUCAGGAGUUAACCUCUAAAGAUGCUGAGCCUUGGCUUAAUGCCAUGAAGGCUGAAGUUGAUUCCUUGAACAGGAACCAAACUUGGGAACUGGUACCGGUAGUCCCAGGGAUGAGACUGGUUGGCAGCAAAUGGGUCUUCAAGGCCAAGACAGACCAGAAUGGCAAGGUUGUCAGACACAAAGCCAGAUUGGUUGCCAGAGGUUUUCACAGGUACCAGGACAGGAUUACCACGAGACCUACUCACCCACCGUCAAAUAUGAGAGCAUUCGGCUGAUGCUCAAGAUAGCUGCAGAGGAGAAACUGCAUGUUUCCCAUCAUGACAUUAAUACAGCUUUUUGUACGGGAUUCUGGAGGAGGAGCUGUUUAUGCUUCCACCUGACGGGAUGCAGAUACAGAAGGGAAUGGUCUGUAAACUGCGGAAAUCCUUAUAUGGUCUCAAGCAGAGUGCCAGGUGUUGGAACACAAAGCUCACUGAGACAUUGCUUUCUCUAGGUUUUCACCAGGGCAAAGCUGAUCCAUGUGUGUUUGUCAAGGAGGAGGGGCAAAACAAACUGUAUUGUUUAUGUUUUGUUGAUGAUCUUCUGAUGUUUUGGAAGAAUCAGGCUUUGUACCAAAGCACCCUAGCUCAGCUGAAGGAGCACUUUGACAUGAAGGAUCUUGGUGAGGUAUCCAACUAUCUUUCUCUGCAGGUGGAGAAGGACCAAGCAGGUAAUUUUCUGGUACACCAAACACAGAAAAUUGCUGAUGUAUUAACCAGGUUGAAUUUGGUUGAUGCAAACCCAGCAGACACACCGAUGGUGACAGGUUACCAGGUAGACAGUACUGCUGAAGCGUUUUCUGACACAACGCUGUACAGAUGCAUUCUAGGCAAGUUGAAUUUCAUUGCUAGAUGCUCAAGACCUGACAUAGCUGUGAGCACUAACCUGCUUAGCAGACAUGCUAACAAUCCUACUGUUCAGGAUUGGAAAGCUCUGAAGCGCAUAGCCCGCUAUUUGAAAGGGACUUUGCACUACAGGCUGAGGUUCACCAGUCAGAAGACUGGAGGUCUUGAAAUCUUUGCAGAUGCAAGUUUUGGAAGUGACACCACGGAUGGUACAAGCACUUCUGGAGUAUGCUACAUGUACAACCACUGCCUGUUUGACUGGUUGUGCAAAAGCAGACGACAGUGAGCCUAAGUUCCUGUGAAGCAGAACUCAAUGCUCUGUCAUUUUCACUCAUGGAUUGUGAAUGGUUGAUGCAACUGUUUAAGGACAUCAGAGUUUCUGUGAAAUGUCCUGUACAAGUGUAUCAAGACAAUAGAUCGUGUUUGGCUUUGCUGAACUCGGAGAGUUGCAAGCAAAGGACCAAGUACUUGCAGAUUAAGCUACAUCGUGCAAGAGAGUGUAUUCAGAAAGGACUCAUUCAGGUGUCCUACAUGCCAGGAAAUGAAAUUCCUGCUGAUCUGUUGUCUAAGGUUGUUAACAGAGAACAACUUAAGGUUUACGUACAAAGGUUGCAAUUGGGUUGAACCACAGGUACUACAGGUUACACGGAAAGGGGGAGGAUGUUAGGAUAUUUCCGUUCCACCUUAAAAGGGAGCAGGCUUUGUGAGUCAGAGUCUGCGUAUUUCCUGUUCACAGGAUGUUUAUGUUUUUCUGUUGCUUUCGUUUUCUCUCUGGUGUCGCAGACACUAAAGCAGUCAGUCAUGUUUUUCUGUGUUCUGAUCAACGCUGAAUAAACUUGUAAAUAAUGCUCUCCUGGGUGCAACUUUUGGCUGUGCUAAUUGCUGAUAGAGCGUGCAUGAGUCUGGAAUGUGUACAAGAUAUUUUCUAGAAACUCAUGUCGCUGAGUGCCUACGGGAGGUAGAUGGAUCGUCCGGCAGACGGCUUGGGGGCCUUGAUGGACUUUAUCUCCCUGGCAGUAUCCCAACA